UACCAAACCGAUGCAAACUCCGAAUACCCAGAAGUGCCGAGCAUGGGAGACACACGGCGGGUGCUAACGUCCGUCGUGAAAAGGGAAACAACCCAGACCGCCAGCUAAGGUCCCAAAGUUGUGGUUAAGUGGUAAACGAUGUGGGAAGGCUUAGACAGCUAGGAGGUUGGCUUAGAAGCAGCCAUCCUUUAAAGAAAGCGUAAUAGCUCACUAGUCGAGUCGGCCUGCGCGGAAGAUGUAACGGGGCUCAAACCACACACCGAAGCUGCGGGUGUCACGUAAGUGACGCGGUAGAGGAGCGUUCUGUAAGCCUGUGAAGGUGAGUUGAGAAGCUUGCUGGAGGUAUCAGAAGUGCGAAUGCUGACAUGAGUAACGACAAUGGGUGUGAAAAACACCCACGCCGAAAGACCAAGGGUUCCUGCGCAACGUUAAUCGACGCAGGGUUAGUCGGUUCCUAAGGCGAGGCUGAAAAGCGUAGUCGAUGGGAAACAGGUUAAUAUUCCUGUACUUCUGGUUACUGCGAUGGAGGGACGGAGAAGGCUAGGCCAGCUUGGCGUUGGUUGUCCAAGUUUAAGGUGGUAGGCUGAAAUCUUAGGUAAAUCCGGGGUUUCAAGGCCGAGAGCUGAUGACGAGUCGUCUUUUAGAUGACGAAGUGGUUGAUGCCAUGCUUCCAAGAAAAGCUUCUAAGCUUCAGGUAACCAGGAACCGUACCCCAAACCGACACAGGUGGUCGGGUAGAGAAUACCAAGGCGCUUGAGAGAACUCGGGUGAAGGAACUAGGCAAAAUGGCACCGUAACUUCGGGAGAAGGUGCGCCGGCUAGGGUGAAGGAUUUACUCCGUAAGCUCUGGCUGGUCGAAGAUACCAGGCCGCUGCGACUGUUUAUUAAAAACACAGCACUCUGCAAACACGAAAGUGGACGUAUAGGGUGUGACGCCUGCCCGGUGCCGGAAGGUUAAUUGAUGGGGUUAGCGCAAGCGAAGCUCUUGAUCGAAGCCCCGGUAAACGGCGGCCGUAACUAUAACGGUCCUAAGGUAGCGAAAUUCCUUGUCGGGUAAGUUCCGACCUGCACGAAUGGCGUAACGAUGGCGGCGCUGUCUCCACCCGAGACUCAGUGAAAUUGAAAUCGCUGUGAAGAUGCAGUGUAUCCGCGGCUAGACGGAAAGACCCCGUGAACCUUUACUGUAGCUUUGCACUGGACUUUGAGCCUGCUUGUGUAGGAUAGGUGGGAGGCUUUGAAGCGUGGACGCCAGUUCGCGUGGAGCCAUCCUUGAAAUACCACCCUGGCAUGCUUGAGGUUCUAACUCUGGUCCGUGAUCCGGAUCGAGGACAGUGUAUGGUGGGCAGUUUGACUGGGGCGGUCUCCUCCUAAAGAGUAACGGAGGAGUACGAAGGUGCGCUCAGACCGGUCGGAAAUCGGUCGCAGAGUAUAAAGGCAAAAGCGCGCUUGACUGCGAGACAGACACGUCGAGCAGGUACGAAAGUAGGUCUUAGUGAUCCGGUGGUUCUGUAUGGAAGGGCCAUCGCUCAACGGAUAAAAGGUACUCCGGGGAUAACAGGCUGAUACCGCCCAAGAGUUCAUAUCGACGGCGGUGUUUGGCACCUCGAUGUCGGCUCAUCACAUCCUGGGGCUGAAGCCGGUCCCAAGGGUAUGGCUGUUCGCCAUUUAAAGUGGUACGCGAGCUGGGUUUAGAACGUCGUGAGACAGUUCGGUCCCUAUCUGCCGUGGACGUUUGAGAUUUGAGAGGGGCUGCUCCUAGUACGAGAGGACCGGAGUGGACGAACCUCUGGUGUUCCGGUUGUCACGCCAGUGGCAUUGCCGGGUAGCUAUGUUCGGAAAAGAUAACCGCUGAAAGCAUCUAAGCGGGAAACUUGCCUCAAGAUGAGAUCUCACUGGGAACUUGAUUCCCCUGAAGGGCCGUCGAAGACUACGACGUUGAUAGGCUGGGUGUGUAAGCGUUGU
rnacentral:rRNA from 1 species